CCUACGGAUGACAGCAGUGGGGAAUAUUGGGCAAUGGACGCAAGUCUGACCCAGCAACGCCGCGUGACGGAAGAAGGCUUUCGGGUUGUAAACUUCUUUUAAGGGGGAAGAGCAGAAGACGGUACCCCUUGAAUAAGCCACGGCUAACUACGUGCCAGCAGCCGCGUGAAUACGUAGGUGGCAAGCGUUGUCCGGAUUUACUGGGUGUACAGGGCGUGAAGCGUGGAAGACAAGUCAGAUGUGAAAUCCAGCGGCUCAACCGCGGAACUGCAUUUGAAACUGUUUUUCUUGAGUAUCGGAGAGGUAAUCGGAAUUCCUAGUGUAGCGGGGAAAUGCGUAGAUAUUAGGAAGAACACCAGUGGCGAAGGCGGAUUACUGGACGACAACUGACGGUGAGGCGCGAAAGCGUGGGGAGCAAACAGGAUUAGAUACCCUAGUAGUC
rnacentral:rRNA from 1 species